UACGUAGGGUGCAAGCGUUGUCCGGAAUUAUUGGGCGUAAAGAGCUCGUAGGCGGUUUGUUGCGUCUGCUGUGAAAUCCCAGGGCUUAACCCUGGGCCUGCAGUGGGUACGGGCAAGCUAGAGUGCGGUAGGGGAGAUCGGAAUUCCUGGUGUAGCGGUGAAAUGCGCAGAUAUCAGGAGGAACACCGGUGGCGAAGGCGGAUCUCUGGGCCGUAACUGACGCUGAGGAGCGAAAGCAUGGGUAGCGAACAGG
rnacentral:rRNA from 1 species